GCCACGAUGAAAAACAUACAAUAUAUUAUAUCUUUAUUCUUUAUAUGUUACAUGCAUUCCCCUGCAGUAGUGAAAAGUAAAUUGUUUGUUUUAUUUCAGUGUCGACAGCUCAAACUAUGGUGGUAUCUUAUCGCUACAAUGCUGCUAACUAGACUCUUGGAUGAAGUUAAGUUGUUUUAGUCAGAUGAUCUACUUUUUGGCGUUUCCUACUGCCCUAGUUAUAGUAGUUCAAGGUUUAACUGUAAAUAUAGUGUUAAGUAAGUUUCAAUACUUCCCUGCCACCUUUUCAGACAUUGCAGAGAUGUGUGACCGCACAAUUCUCAAACCGAAGAAUCAAAAGGAGUUAUUGAUUUAUCGGUAUAUAAAGUAUGUAUGCUUUAUCAAACAAAGCCACUAGGUAUUCGUGACACAGUUUACGUGUGAUGACGUGGGCAUCUCUCAACACACUUUGCAGCAUGAGCGACGGUGCCGUGGCGGGAUAUCUGGAAAUGUAGCCUUGAGCUCAGUUUAUUUUUCUCCGUCACCUCACCCGGGGGAGGGGGGGGGAGCCAAUGACUUUGGGUACUUUGGGGACAAGUGCAGAAUUUCGCCAGCAAUUUAACCUCAAGUCUCCAAGAUUUUUAGCCCCCAUUGGUACCCAAAAGUCUCCUUUAGAAGUCAUUUAAUAAAA